UACGAGGGGGGCGAGCGUUGUUCGGAAUUAUUGGGCGUAAAGGGGGCGUAGGCGGUUUGGUAAGUCUUAUGUGAAAUCUAUGGGCUCAACUCAUAGUCUGCAUGAGAAACUGCCGGGCUUGAGUAUGGGAGAGGUGAGUGGAAUUCCUGGUGUAGCGGUGAAAUGCGUAGAUAUCAGGAGGAACACCUGUGGCGAAAGCGGCUCACUGGACCAUAACUGACGCUGAUGCACGAAAGCUAGGGGAGCAAACAGG
rnacentral:rRNA from 1 species